rnacentral:snRNA from 1 species
GCAGCAGUGGAAACAUCAAGCAAACAAUCCCCUCGCCUUUUACUAGGGGAUUCCGUGAUGCUUCCACAUCUAAUGCUGCAAUACAAUCUUUGGAAACCCCCUUCCUUCGGAAGCC